GACGAACGCUGGCGGCGUGCCUAAUACAUGCAAGUCGAACGAGAGCGACCGGUGCUUGCACUGGUCAAUCUAGUGGCGAACGGGUGAGUAACACGUGGGUAACCUGCCCAUCAGAGGGGGAUAACAUCCGGAAACGGAUGCUAAAACCGCAUAGGUCUUCGAGCCGCAUGGCUUGAAGAGGAAAAGAGGCGCAAGCUUCUGCUGAUGGAUGGACCCGCGGUGCAUUAGCUAGUUGGUGAGGUAACGGCUCACCAAGGCCGUGAUGCAUAGCCGACCUGAGAGGGUGAUCGGCCACAUUGGGACUGAGACACGGCCCAAACUCCUACGGGAGGCAGCAGUAGGGAAUCUUCCGCAAUGGACGCAAGUCUGACGGAGCAACGCCGCGUGAGUGAAGAAGGUUUUCGGAUCGUAAAACUCUGUUGUUAGAGAAGAACAAGUGCUAGAGUAACUGUUAGCGCC
rnacentral:rRNA from 1 species